AAUAUUGGUCAAUGGACGCAAGUCUGAACCAGCCAUGCCGCGUGGAGGAUGAAGGCCCUCUGGGUUGUAAACUUCUUUUAUAGGGGACGAAACCCUGGUAUUCUUACCAGAUUGACGGUACCCUAGGAAUAAGCACCGGCUAACUCCGUGCCAGCAGCCGCGGUAAGACGGAGGGUGCAAGCGUUGUUCGGAAUUACUGGGCGUAAAGGGCGCGUAGGCGGUCCGCUAAGUUCGGCGUGAAAGCCCCUGGCUCAACUGGGGAACGGCACUGGAUACUGGCGGACUCGAGUACCGGAGAGGAGAGUGGAAUUCCUGGUGUAGCGGUGAAAUGCGUAGAUAUCAGGAGGAACACCGGUGGCGAAGGCGGCUCUCUGGACGGAUACUGACGCUGAGGCGCGAAAGCGUGGGGAUCAAAC
rnacentral:rRNA from 1 species